rnacentral:rRNA from 1 species
UACGUAGGGGCAAGCGUUGUCCGGAAUCAUUGGGCGUAAAGCGCGUGUAGGCGGCCCGGUAAGUCCGCUGUGAAAGUCGGGGGCUCAACCCUCGAAUGCCGGUGGAUACUGUCGGGCUAGAGUGCGGAAGAGGCGAGUGGAAUUCCUGGGUGAUAGCGGUGAAAUGACGCAGAUAUCAGGAGGAACACCAAUUGCGAAGGCAGCUCGCUGGGACGUUACUGACGCUGGAGACGCGAAAGCGUGGGGAGCAAACAG